rnacentral:rRNA from 1 species
GACGUAGGGCGCGAGCGUUGUCCGGAUUUAUUGGGCGUAAAGGGCUCGUAGGCGGCCAACUAAGUCAGACGUGAAAUCCCUCAGCUUAACUGGGGAACUGCGUCUGAUACUGGAUGGCUUGGAUUCGGGAGAGGAAUGCGGAAUUCCCAGUGUAGCGGUGAAAUGCGUAGAUAUCGGGAGGAACACCAGUGGCGAAGGCGACUACCUGGCCUGUUCUUGACGCUGAGGCGCGAAAAGCUAGGGGAGCAAACGGG